AAGUAUUCUAUUUUACAUUUUCCCAAACGUAUCAUUCAAUCUAAACCCUAAACCUUUCUCUUCUCCCUCGUCUCUCCGAUGCCAAUCUCCCUCCAUUCUUCUUCUUCCCCCUCCUCCUCAUUUCUACAAUGCCUCACUCCCACGAGUCCAACCAUUCAAAUCGUUUCUAAAUCGGCGUCGGAUCGUCUUCUCGCCAAGUUCUUCGACGCCUCAAAAUUCGACUUCGAUUACCUACAGAGUAGCUUGUGGUCUCCGCCAAUUCAGCGCCGACUGUUUCUCGAUUCUCCGGCCGAUGUUUGCUCCGGUUCCAAGGUCGUUCUCUCAAAGCUUGAGAAUGCGAAGAAGGCGUGGAGGAAAUUCAUUAUCUGUUUCAGAUGACAAUUCAAACUCAAGCAAAUGGGAUUUCUUAAGAACAUACAAAAGGGAAUUUUCACAUAAAAACUCUGGAUUUCUCUGCUAAUCAGCAGGUAAGGCCAACAAUAUCUCCCUUUUACUUUACUUUUUCUCUGAUUAUAAUCCUCAUUUUGUAUGUUAUAAUUACAAGGUUGGAUUAGAUUCAUACACACAACUUUUGCUAUGAUUGGAUAAUUAUUGGAUGUCAUGGAUGUUGACAAACGUAACCCAAAAUGUAGUAACAACAUCUAUUAGAAGGCUUGAAUUGUGUAGUUGAAUACUUAUUGUUAUUUACUGUACUAUAACAUACAUGUCUAUGUAUAUCUAAAGAUAUGUAACACUUGUUAGAAAGAGUUUGAGUAAUUUUCUAAAUAAAAAAAGAGAGAGAGAUGAAAGGAUUAAUUGUUCUAAAGUUUUAUUGGAAGUGUAACCCGUUUAGGGAUCUCCUUUUUAAGUAAUAUGUGUACAUAUGUCAGUAAUCAUCACAUAUAAAUUUUGGUA